rnacentral:misc_RNA from 1 species
AAGACUAUAGACCUGCGGAGUACCUGCGGAAGGAUCAUUACCGAGUUAUACAACUCAUCAACCCUGUGAACAUACCUAUAACGUUGCCUCGGCGGGAACAGACGGCCCCGUAACACGGGCCGCCCCCGCCAGAGGACCCCCUAACUCUGUUUCUAUAAUGUUUCUUCUGAGUAAACAAGCAAAUAAAUUAAAACUUUUAACAACGGAUCUCU